AAAUAUCAAUAUUAUAAUAUUUAUUAUAUUUUAAUAUUAUUUUAGUAUUUAUCUUAAUAUAAUAUUUUAUUAAUAUUUAUAUUAAUAUAGUAUUAUAUUUAUAUUAAAUAAAUAUAAUAUUAAUAUUUAUAUAAAAUUUAAGAGCAAAAAGGUAUGGCCUUAUAUCUACUAAGGACAUGUUGCGGUCAAUCCCCUAUUGCGCCCGU
rnacentral:lncRNA from 1 species